rnacentral:rRNA from 1 species
AGCAGCCGCGGUAAUUCCAGCUCCAAUAGCGUAUAUUAAAGUUGUUGCAGUUAAAAAGCUCGUAGUUGAAUUUCGGGGUUAGUAGGUUGGUCAUGCCUCUGGUAUGUACUGGUCUCACUGAUUCCUCCUUCCUGAUGAACCUUAAUGCCAUUUAUUUGGUGUUUUGGGGAAUUUGGACUGUUACUUUGAAAAAAUUAGAGUGUUUAAAGCAAGCUAACGCUUGAAUACAUUAGCAUGGAAUAAUGAAAUAGGACGUUCGAUCCUAUUUUGUUGGUUUCUAGGAUUGACGUAAUGAUUAAUAGGGAUAGUUGGGGGCAUUAGUAUUCAAUUGUCAGAGGUGAAAUUCUUGGAUUUAUUGAAGACUAACUACUGCGAAAGCAUUUGCCAAGGAUGUUUUCAUUAAUCAAGAACGAAAGUUAGGGGAUCGAAGACGAU